CUAAGGUGUAUUGGGAGAGAAUUGGCACAGCCGUCCCUUUGGGGCUGAGGACGGCCCAAGCUGACCGGCUGACCCUCUGCCUUCGUGUCUCCCCAGCUACCCGUACAGUGAGGAUGCCCGCCAGGGUGAGCAGUAUAUGAACACCCGGUGCCCGGCCUGGUGUGACCGCAUCCUCAUGUCCCCGUCUGCCAAGGAGCUGGUGCUGAGGUCGGAGAGCGAGGAGAAGGUUGUCACCUAUGACCACAUUGGGCCCAACGUCUGCAUGGGAGACCACAAGCCCGUGUUCCUGGCCUUCCGAAUCAUGCCCGGGGCAGGUAAACCUCAUGCCCGUGUGCACAAGUGUUGUGUCGUGCAGUGACGUGGUGGGAAGAGAUGCCAGCGCCACGAGAGGACCCUUCGUGAGCCCUCCCUGUAGCCGUGUACUGAAUACGCACCUUCAAAGCUGCAUCGAGAACCCACCCAAGCGCCACCUGCUAGACGGCCAGCCCCACACUUCGCUUCAGCCUCCGGACCAUUCCGGAACAGCCUCACAUACCUCACUGUCUCGUCUGUUCAUGUGACAUUAAGUAGAAAUAUUGGUUUUUUAAAAAUAAGUCACAGUCCUGUUGUCAAAACUCUAAUAGACAGCAAAGAGGGUCUGUACCGUAGACUUCACAGUUUUCAGUUUUUAAUGAUUGUCAGUGGAGGGGCUUCUCCAGCACAGAGACCCCACCCCUCCCCCGUGUCCAGAGACCCCCCUCUGCCAGGUGGAGGUGUGUCCAGGGGCUGGGGAAGCCGAGAUGGGCGCUCCCUCUGCCGGCCGGCAGCGUGGCCCCCAGCAUGGCGAAGGGGUCUGUCUCUGCCGAUGCCCCUUCCGCGGCACUCUGCGCCGUGUCACAUGGUUUUUGAAUCACACUGCAGCUGCUUUCCAUUUUUAUAUAUAUAUAAAUAUAUAUAAAUAUAUACUUUUUAAAAAUAAUUUAUAAAUCUUACCAAAAUUUAUGCUAAAUGUACUUUCCAGUAUGAAUGCACAAGAGAGUCCCAUCAGCAGGCAGCAUCGGAGUCUAGGAGCUCAGCUGUGUGUCCAUCAACACACACAUUCGUAAAAAAACACAUGGCCUCGCCAUCGUGGGUGAAAUCGGCCCCACAGCACGUCUGCACUGGCGGGCCGUCACUCCCGUGCCGUUCUUCUGUGUAAUAUUAAGAACUGAAUGUGAAGUUUAUAGCUAGCCUGGGUGUACCUUUUAAGAAUUUUGUAAACCGUUUGUCUGUCUUUUGUUACUGUUUUAUGGUGCCAAGUAUUCUACAUUACAACAAUAAUAUCAUGGGAGAAAUAGAAAUAGUCUAGUUUGCUUCCAAUAGAAAUUGCUUUUAACAUGGGCUGUAUAUAAAAAUAUUAAAGAGAAACAAAACUGUACAUUUCCUCAUUGCUCCGCUACAAACAACCCAUGUAAUAACCUUAUUGCAAAUAUUUUUCUCCUAGCACUAAGUACAGCAUUAAAAGGUGAUUAGAGAGUCUGUUGAUGAAACACAAAUAUAUGUUUUAUUGAUUUUACUUUAGAACACUACAGAGUUCCUGGACCGGGUGAAGGCAUUAGGUGGGUGUUUGUUUUUGGAUAAAUCACUACCAUUGCAAGUGACUGCUGUCCGCUGCGGAAUCCGCUCUUGGUGGAAGGACCGGUCCCUGUCCCUGCUGUGGUUGCCACGGUCCGCAGUUCAACACGGAGUCCGCCCCACGGGUUUCAGCUGUUGGUCGUUCUGAGGGCCUUUAGAAGUGACUGGCCUGGUUCCUAAGCAAUAAAAUUGACAAUGGUGAA
ensembl:lncRNA